GCCGAUGUAGCUCAGGUGGUUAGAGCGAGCGUUUCAUAAGCGCUAGGUCGCUGGUUCGAGUCCAGCCAUCGGCACCA
rnacentral:tRNA from 1 species